CUUCUCCAGGCCGCCCUUCUCUCCGCGGCGGGAAUGACUGCGGCUCUGCGGCCAGGGCAUUGUGAUCAGGGUCCCCGGGAGCAAGGCGAGCGGCUCCUCCGCUACCUUCCCCGGGCUCGCCCGCCCGCCCACCGCUCGCUUUACCUGCUGAGCUGCAGGAAGCGGCCUUAGACCUUUUAAGGCUGGGGAAAGCGCGAGGCUGGAAAGACCGCCCUGCCCUUCGCAAUGGCGAGCUCGGCGUCCCGCACCGUGGCAGCCGCGGGGAACAAUGGUGGUCUCCGGAAGGAGCGGGCAAAGGCUGGGCUAGGCGGGUUGGACGUGAUGGUGCGAGCCUAACCUGGGGCGAGGACACUGCAAGCGAGCUGCUCCCCGCGGGCUACCCUCUGGCCCCCGUCCCUUUCAGGUUCCCUGAAAACGUCCUGGAAGCCACGUUCGGAAGAGUGUUCCUAGGGCCCCAGCUGGCAGUGGGAGGGGGUCGCUCGCUGGGGGAGGAGCGGGGGCGCCUAGGCCCGGAAGAGGGGGAAGGAAAAGAGCGGAAAUUGCAGGUGCCUGAACCCGCAAGAUCUCCACCCAGUAGACGGAAGCUGAAAGGGAUGCCUUCUCAAAAUGAAGUAUCUGCCCUUGCGCCCUUUUAAAUGUGCUCCUCUGCACUAAAGCACCUUUACUGAGCACCUGCCGGGGGGCCUCCACUAAGCACAACUGGGGGAAACCCUCAGAAAUUCAGCCCAGAACUCUUCCAGAAGAUUCCAUGGCAAGUUAUUCUUUCCCUAACUCGGUAUGUUGGAUACAUUGUCUGAUCCACAAGCUUAUCCUACAAAUUAUAAUUCUCCUGAAGUGACAGCAAGAGUUGCCUGUGACCAGACUCAGGGAAUACUGAAGAAGAGGGUUUGGAAAGGCUGUGCAUGCUGGUGAACCAUGGGGAGAGCUGUGGAAUGCUGCCUUCUGGACAGACAGGCUGUCGAAUACAUCAAAGUUCUCAGCAGCUGUGGUCACUGCACAUGACUCAUGAAAGAUCAAGCCAGUCAAAAAUUCCAGCGUGGCUGAUGAAGGGGCUCCUAAGACCUCACCUUAGUAGAGGAGGUAUUGGGAGUGGAUGGCUGCUUAGAGGGGAAGCGGCGGUCUUCUUCGAGGAUAUGGCCAUUGAUAGGCUGUUCGUGUCCUAGCAUGUGGCCUUAAUUAGACUCAGGAGGUUAUUAAUAAUGUGAUAGCCUAAAUUAUGUUUUGUUAUAAUUACUGUGCUUAAGAGAUUUGUAAAACAAAAAUUCCUCUAACCUGUAAGCCCCAACUGCCAGGACAGAUAAAGUCUUGGAGAGGUGGGAGCUCAUGGAAGACAACUUGCAUUUCUGUGAACAAGGUUGGUUGCCCCAAGGCACAGGAUGUACCUGAUCACAAGUAGGCGGGAGGAGUGUAGGCAGGAAGUACAUCAAGGUGUGUGAUUACCCCCACUGGACAAAGGCAGCGAGUGCACAGCCUUGGACGCUUUGCCUUUAAGAGCGCCGACUAGGAUAAUUCGAAGCCAUUCUCUGGGAGUCCCGGGCAUGGACCUGGCCAGUGUCCGUCAUCCUGGCCAGUAUUUAAUAAAGCCUGCUCAGAAAUUGUGGUGGUGAUCUUAUUCUCCCGUGGUGGGAGUAACAGUAACAAAAACAGGAGCAUGUGAAGUUGGGUUAAGAAGUGGGGAGGCACUAGAGGGAAUAAAACAUGAAAACUUCAAAGAGUAAAAUAUUGCUAAAAAAGUUAGGCAGAGAGUGUCAUGUGACAGACUUCUCCUAUGGAGAUGCAACACACACAUGCUCACCCAAGAUAGAGAGCCCAUGACAGACCUAAGUACGAACACCACCAAAAUCCAAGUUGGUUAUCAACGAGUCUUGGUUUGGGUUUGUUAUUGUUUCAGGGUUUCUCUGUGUAACAGUUCUGACUGUCCUGGAAAUCAUUUUGUAGACCAGGCUGGCCUCGAACUCAGACCUGUCUCUGCCUCCCAGUGCUGGGAUGAAAGGCAUGAGCCACCGCUAACCGGCUUGAAUCAAAGAGCAAAAGAAAGGAUUCAAAGAUGGCUGUAUCUCCCAAGUCCACCCCAGCGUGGGGUCUGGAGAACCCUGGGCAGCUUGAGCAGGGUCCUGCCCAGGUAACUGAGUUGACCUAAGCCUCUCCACAGCAGCGCCACUGGUUUCUGCCUCUUUCUGAACCACGUGGCUGCUCUGUCUUCUCUGCAGCUUUACUGUUUACUCUUGGGGAGGGAGAGGCCUAGAAAAUCUGGUCAGUUUCAGGGACUUCCUGGAGCAAUUCUUAGUUCUUUACCUUCUGCCUGAAGGAGCUUCCCUGCCGGACUGAAUUUCUUGCUCAAGCGGGAAGCUGCUGUAUGACAGGGUCAGUCACCCAAGAAGAUCAUCAUCAUCAUCAUCAUCAUCAUCAUCAUCAUCAUCAUCAUCGCCAUCAUCUAUGCCCCAGCAAUGCUUAAGCAUGCAUGGGCAACCGUUUAUGGCGGUUCUCCAGUUCCUACCCCGUGUAGCCCUAGAUGCUUGUGUUACUGUUACACCCAAGGUUCCAGUCUUCCAGUAUGCUGUCUAUCCAGCGUUUUUUUUGUUGUUGUUUUUUGUUUGUUUGUUUGUUUUGGCCUUCCUCUUCCCCUUAUCUCGUGCACUCCUGCAAGCAAUGCUAUCUUCGGGUAUCACAGCAUGGCUGAAGUAUCUCAGGCACCAUUGCCAACAACUGAGGAAGAUGCCCCUGUUGAUAUCUGGCUGUGGCACUUCUACCCAUGCACACACGUCUGCUGCAACACGCGCGCACACACACGCAUGCCCAGUGGAUCUCUUCAUUUUACAAAGCCGUGACAAAAUGCCUGAAGGAAAGGAGGACUCAUGAUUCUGACUCAUUUCCAAGGGUAUAUCAGUCCCCCCACAGUUGGCCCUGUUGCUGUGGGUCCGGCAGAGAAGGCCUGUUUACCACUCAGCUGGCAAAUGAGGAGAAAACAGACUAACACUGCUGGUCGGCUUCAUCCUUGGACCGUCAAAAAGCCUGUAGGAAGGCAGCCAUUGACAAGUGGCCAGAGGAAGACAAGACACAACAAGCCGUCCCACUACUGCGAAAAGAACAACAGCCUAAGCUCUUGACAAGAAGAGGUCACCUUUCUUUUGCGGCUGUCCCAUCACAGCUGGCCUUCCACGUGCUUGAGACGUAAAUAAAGAAAGGCAAGCAGCCUCUGUAGAGCCAAGAGUGCAGGGGCAGGGAGGGGUGGGGUAGGGGGGACACAGUAGGAAGGUCGAGCCUUACAAAGGAAGCACUCAGCUGCUGACAAAGAGGGCUUGAUUAUCUUAUUAGAGCAAGUUGAGAGUCAGGAUGGGCAUAAAAGGUUGAGAAGAGAGAGAGGAACAAAUCCAUGGAAGCCCCAAAGCCUGUUGCAGAGACAGAGGUUUGCCUGAGACCCCGGCUGUCACUUCCUCUCGUUGUGUGUAGGCUCUGCUCAAAGGAAGUAACAGGACUUGGACCAGGGGGUUUUGGAAUGUCAGAAUAAUUCCCAGUGCUGCCAUGAAUUACUGUGACUGUGUUUGAGAUAAAGGAUUCAUUCUUUCAUUUAUUCUUGAAUGUCUAUUGAAUAGUUGUUUAUACGUGUCACACAUCAGGUGCUGAGGUUGGAAGGAAGGAACACAGAGACACUGCUAGGUUGGGGAUGAAGUUCAGGGCUGGAACACUUAGCCUAGAACGUGCAAGGCCCUGGGUUUGAUCCCCAGCAGACUCCCCACCCAAACACAUUUUCAAAUAAACACAAAGUCAUAUUUUAGGAGGAAAAUCAAAUACAAUAGCAAAGUCUUGGUAAGAGUUAGCCGAAUGAAAUAAUAAUGAAUAAAGUAAGUGAAUUAAAAAAGAAAAAAAUAGCCUUUUGUCAAUGACUAGUGCUAUUAUAUAUGAUAAUGACAAAUAAAUUUACACACUCCAAAUACUUAAACCCAGAAGUGAGAAGCACUUUGUAUUAAGAACAUCUGUGAAACUGGACAUGGUGGCUCAUACUGGAAUUUGAAGGAGGAUAGCAAGUUCAAUGGUCUGUCCUCUGCUACAUGAGGAGUACGCAGCCAGGCUAGGCUAAAGGUCCUGCCUUAAAAACAUUUUUUAAAUACAAUUUUUUAUUAUUAUUACUAUUUUGGAAAGGACCAGAGCCUGAAUUUUGUCAGGCAUGAAGUGAGAUCAGAAGUUAAAAAAGAAAUCAGAGCUGAAUAAUCCAAUUGUGUGUGAAUACUGAGGGUAAAUCAUCUUUUUUUUUUUUCUCCCAAGUAUUUACCUGACUCAAGGGAUAGACUGAGACAAUAAAUAUAAGUAGCUAUUAAAAUUCAAAUGUCAUCUUUCAGGAUAUUUUUGAAAAAUAUCAGAGGAAGGAUUGGCCAUAAAAACAAAGCCUCCAUUUGUUUUGUCUUUGGAGAAGGUCCCGCUGUGUGGCACAGGCUGAAAGACUGCCUGCCCUGGGCCUGGCAGCCGUCUUCCCAGCCCCUGCCUCCCAAGCACGAGAACGCUGGUAGUUUCAAAGCUAAAAGUUAAUCUCACUGCACAGACAUUUUUUAAAAGGCAUAUUUUCAAAACUGCAGAUCAAUAAUAAGGUUUAAGUUCUUCAUAAGGCGUUUUGCUUCAUCUAUUAUGUCUUUGUCUUAAUGAUUCAGCACCUACCCCAGUUUCUCGCAAAAAUAU